GGAGUUCAAGAUUCCAAUCUGUUCAUGGGAGUCUCCCAACAAUAUGCUCAAUGUAGACGUUCGUGACAAAGACCAUUUUUCUCAGGAUGAUUCAUUGGGGUCUGUCCUGUUCUCUUUCGACAUUUACUGCAGGAACAUAGCUAUUAAGUAGGAUAUACUAUGGCUCCGACACCACCGUCAUCCCAAAAAAGAGAAAAAAGGAUAUACUAGGAGUGAGCUGUUAACCCCCGACCAUGUAGAGCUUGGGUUAUGCGGAGGAAUUUCUGUUACUAAGUGGUUUCUAAUAUUCUCUGUGAAUUAUCUCUUGCUGUUAGUUCCUUCUUUCACAAUAAUCUUGUGCCCAGCUUCUACAUGCUUAUCUGUAUGCUUCCGCGAUCUCCAGCUAAGCUAGUCGUAACAUCAUAUUCCUAUCUAGUAAUUAUGAUGACUUGGACCAAUAGAGACAUGUUUUUACCGCCC
rnacentral:lncRNA from 1 species